CAAAAACAUGUCCUUUAGAUAAUAAUUUAAGGUCGGGCCUGCCCAAUGAAUUUUGAAUGGCCGCAGUAUUUUGACUGUGCAAAGGUAGCAUAAUCAUUAGUUUCUUAAUUAGAAGCUUGUAUGAAAGGUUUGAUGAGAAAUCAGCUGUCUUUAUUUAAUUAUUUUAGAAUUUAAUUUUUAAGUCAGAAAGCUUAAAUUUUUUAGAAAGACGAGAAGACCCUAUAGAGUUUUAUUGGUGUUAUUAUUUUUUUUUUGGUUUUAUUUAUUUUAGUAACAUUAAUUUGGUUGGGGUGAUUGGAGAAUUAGAUUAACUUCUUUUUUUUGUUUACAUUGAUUAGUAGUUUUUGAUCCUUUUUUUAAGAUUAAAAGAAAAAAUUACCUUAGGGAUAACAGCGUAAUUUUUUUUGAAAGUUCUUAUUGAAAAAAAAGUUUGCGACCUCGAUGUUGGAUUAAAAUUAAUUUUUGGGGUAGUAGCUAGAAAAUUAGG
rnacentral:rRNA from 1 species